rnacentral:rRNA from 1 species
GACGAACGCUGGCGGCGUGCUUAACACAUGCAAGUCGAACGGAAAGGCCCUGCUUUUGUGGGGUGCUCGAGUGGCGAACGGGUGAGUAACACGUGAGUAACCUGCCCUUGACUUUGGGAUAACUUCAGGAAACUGGGGCUAAUACCGGAUAGGAGCUCCUGCUGCAUGUUGGGGGUUGGAAAGUUUCGGCGGUUGGGGAUGGACUCGCGGCUUAUCAGCUGGUUGGUGGGGUAGUGGCUUACCAAGGCUUUGACGGGUAGCCGGCCUGAGAGGGUGACCGGCCACCUUGGGACUGAGAUACGGCCCAGACUCCUACGGGAGGCAGCGGUGGGGAAUAUUGCACAAUGGGCGGAAGCCUGAUGCAGCAACGCCGCGUGCGGGAUGACGGCCUUCGGGUUGUAAACCGCUUUCGCCUGUGACGAAGCGUGAGUGACGGUAAUGGGUAAAGAAGCACCGGCUAACUACGUG